rnacentral:tRNA from 1 species
GGCUAUCACAUCACGCUUUCACCGUGGAGACCGGGGUUCGACUCCCCGUAUCGGAG